rnacentral:lncRNA from 1 species
AAUAAUUCAAGGGCAUGCCUCUGACGACCUUGAAAUGCCACCAACCUCCGUGCAUUACACUACACCAAGCAACCCAAUUUUCUCUUUAUUAUUAUUAUUUUUUUAAAACUGCAUGCUUUGAUCCUCUUUUUCAACUCCAAAUGCUUCUGUCUACUGUCACACUUUCUCACUCUCUAUUUUCCCUUCUUUUCUUUUCCUUUUUUCUUUUUUCUUGUGUUAGCAUUACAUCAAAUCCAUCUCCUUUUUGAACCUUCUUUUUGGGGGUUGUUGGGGGGGGGGGGGGGGUUUAAAUUCACAAGUUUAAAAUCAUUUUACAGUGUGGGCUUCUGAGGGCCCAAAAGAAAAUCAAAGGCAAAAAAUCUAAUGCCCCAACUACUCGACUCCAUCAAUUAUUUCACCAUUUAUUGGUUGAUUUGAUUUCCAAUCUUUUCCAUCAUUUCAAAUUCAAGCAAGGACGCUAAGUUUUGAUGUUAGAAGGAAAUGGUUGGUAUGUUAUGGCUUUAAAGAUGAUUUUAUUGAGUGCACGCAAUAGCUAAAUAAUGGCAUCAUUUAUUUCGAUUGUUUGAUGUCUCCGGGGAAAAGAAGAAGAAGAAGAAAUUUGAACUUCUUGUAUGUCUGGUGCAAAUUUGUUUUAGAUAAUGGCACAUUUUUUUAUGUUACAAAUUUAGG